rnacentral:rRNA from 1 species
GAACGCUAGCUACAGGCUUAACACAUGCAAGGUCGAGGGGCAGCGGGAUUGAAGCUUGCUUCAAUUGCCGGCGACCGGCGCACGGGUGAGUAACACGUAUCCAACCUGCCGUCUACUCUUGGACAGCCUUCUGAAAGGAAGAUUAAUACAAGAUGGCAUCAUGAGUCCGCAUGUUCACAUGAUUAAAGGUAUUCCGGUAGACGAUGGGGAUGCGUUCCAUUAGAUAGUAGGCGGGGUAACGGCCCACCUAGUCUUCGAUGGAUAGGGGUUCUGAGAGGAAGGUCCCCCACAUUGGAACUGAGACACGGUCCAAACUCCUACGGGAGGCAGCAGUGAGGAAUAUUGGUCAAUGGGCGAGAGCCUGAACCAGCCAAGUAGCGUGAAGGAUGACUGCCCUAUGGGUUGUAAACUUCUUUAUAAAGGAAUAAAGUCGGGUAUGGAUACCCGUUUGCAUGUACUUUAUGAAUAAGGAUCGGCUAACUCCGUG